GCAGACACAUUCCAGCCAAUCAGCAGCAGACCCUCCCUCCCAGAUCCUCCCACCUCCUGGACAGCAUCCAUUUUACAUUCAUUGUGAAGCUGCAUUCUUAGUGAGCUGUCCAGGAGGUGGGAGGGUCUGGGAGGGAGGGUCUGCUGCUGAUUGGCUGGAAUGUGUCUG